rnacentral:rRNA from 1 species
UGCAGUCGAACGAUGAAGCCCUUCGGGGUGGAUUAGUGGCGAACGGGUGAGUAACACGUGGGCAAUCUGCCCUGCACUCUGGGACAAGCCCUGGAAACGGGGUCUAAUACCGGAUAUCACUCUUGCAGGCAUCUGUGAGGGUCGAAAGCUCCGGCGGUGCAGGAUGAGCCCGCGGCCUAUCAGCUUGUUGGUGAGGUAAUGGCUCACCAAGGCGACGACGGGUAGCCGGCCUGAGAGGGCGACCGGCCACACUGGGACUGAGACACGGCCCAGACUCCUACGGGAGGCAGCAGUGGGGAAUAUUGCACAAUGGGCGAAAGCCUGAUGCAGCGACGCCGCGUGAGGGAUGACGGCCUUCGGGUUGUAAACCUCUUUCAGCAGGGAAGAAGCGAAAGUGACGGUACCUGCAGAAGAAGCGCCGGCUAACUACGUGCCAGCAGCCGCGGUAAUACGUAGGGCGCAAGCGUUGUCCGGAAUUAUUGGGCGUAAAGAGCUCGUAGGCGGCUUGUCACGUCGGGUGUGAAAGCCCGGGGCUUAACCCCGGGUCUGCAUUCGAUACGGGCUAGCUAGAGUGUGGUAGGGGAGAUCGGAAUUCCUGGUGUAGCGGUGAAAUGCGCAGAUAUCAGGAGGAACACCGGUGGCGAAGGCGGAUCUCUGGGCCAUUACUGACGCUGAGGAGCGAAAGCGUGGGGAGCGAACAGGAUUAGAUACCCUGGUAGUCCACGCCGUAAACGGUGGGAACUAGGUGUUGGCGACAUUCCACGUCGUCGGUGCCGC